rfam:Oryza sativa Japonica Group DNA, chromosome 9, cultivar: Nipponbare, complete sequence.
AAUAAGUGUAGUUUUGCACUGUUUUAUAUCCAUCGUUUGACUGUUCAUUUUAUUUGAAAUUUUUUUAUGAUUAGUAUUUUAUUUUAGAGGAAAAAUAUGAAAAGUACUUUAUGCGUGACUAAUUGUUUUUAAUUUUUUUUAUAAAUUUUUAAAUAAGACGGACGGUCAAACGUUAGACACAGAUAUUUACGGCUGUAUUUAUU